CCAUAGCAACAAGACAAACCGUGUAAACAAAGCAAAGCAUUCAGUACUGAGGAUCAGACACAGACACGGAAAUCAGCUGUGAGGCGGUGAUAAUGUUGUCGAUCCCUAUACGUAUCCCCACGGACUCUACAUAUGAAGACCCCGGAUCACUCCGCACGACCCCAAAGACAGUCAGCUCCAUUCAUGAGGAAGAUGGCAGCAUCUUAGAAUAUACAGAGAGGUCAAAUGAUGGACCAGAGACGUCUCCUCAUGACCUGAAGACUCAGAAACUUCCUGUAGAGAAACUAUCCAGGGCUCAGCUAAUGGUGGAACGGUACAUCCAAGACAAGGAGUUGCAUAAGGCACACAAGGAGUUAAUCCGCUGUGUGGCCCUAAGUAGAAUAAUCCAUGGAGAUGGCCACUGGAGACUUGCUAAAGCGUUUGCUGACCUUGCAUACAGUUACCUUACUGUUAGAGGGUUACCAGUCCAAUCCAGACAACACGCUGAAUCUGCCAAAAACAUCCUGCUGCGAGGAGUGGACCUGUCAAAAUCUGUGGAGGAGAAAAGAGAAGUCCUGGGGACAUUGGUGACCAUUUACUAUACGCUGGGAGUGUCUCACCUGAUGCAAAAUAAUGGAAGAGAAUCGUAUCUGAGUUUGCAAAAAGUGGAAAAAAUUGUGGAAGAACUGGAAGAACUUCAGGAAAAGACGUCUGUUCUUGGCAAAAUAUCUGACAAAGACAUAGCUUUGGCAUUGGGAAGGGCCUGCGUGAUGCAGGACAAGCUCAGCUUGGCUGUGAAUUUCUUUGAACAAGCUGUGAAGAUUGUCACCUCUUCUGAGGGGGACAGCUCUCCUGAACUCAUAGGUAUCUACCGAGACCUGGCCAGAACAGAGCAGAUGAAGAGGAGGCACGAGCAGGCCAUCCAUUACCUACUGCAGGCGCAUUCUAUAUCUCAGGCUGUAUACAAAAAUCUGAGUGAAGAGGCUGCACAGACAGGUCUGCUCUUAGCUAAAGCCUAUGCUGCUGCCGGCCAUUCUGAAUACAAUGAAAGUGCUGACAAGUAUUUUACAGAGAGUCUUGGUGUUUAUCAGGCGGUCCUGGGCCCCGACGACCCUCAGACAUUGAACACAUGUGUGGAAUUUAGCAAAUGGCUCAUACAAAUCGGUAAAACUCAGGAUGCCUACAAGAUGUUACAGGACGCGUUGGGCUCAGAGACGGAGUACAGCGAGCUUGUGGCUGAGAUACUUAGUAUCAUGGGCAGCAUAAAUCUGGCAAAUGGGAAAAUACAGAAGGGCUACCGUCUGCUAAAAAAGUGUCUGGAGAUCCAGACCGCAGUGUUUGGCUCCCAGCAUAACAAGAGCAGAGAAACCCAGAAUCUCCUGACCACGCUACAGAAGUUAGAGGCCUCCAGAUGUGCUGGACACUGACCCUGAGACGUCUGGACUGGACUUGACCUCAGCAGAAGUGGAUCACAAGAGGCAGGUUGUAGUACCUCCCCCUCUUAUAAAGGGGGGGCUGAGCAAGGAGCCCAUAGGUCAACUGCGGGUCAGCUGGUGCUCUCUGGGUCUGGUGCAAGUGGGGAGUAAACGUUAUAUGACUGCAGACUGUACCAUGAUCUACAUCCUACCAAACUCCUGCGUCUCCAGUGCAAAGAAGAGAAAACCUGCAAAAAGACAUCCCCGUGGCCUGCGUGAUCCUGUAACCAUCUAAAUGACCGCGUUACAAGGUCAUCACAUCAGCCUAAUACCAGUGGUGGAUAUAGGCCCUUUUAUGUGGUAUAUCAAGCACACAGACUGCAGCUAUGAUGACUUGGACCAUCCAUUAUCUGAAUUAGGCCAAGGCCCCAUUCCUUACUAAUGGAUGCGACUUGCGCAAAAUGGACAAGUAGUAAUCUACAAGGUGGCAAUGUUGCAGUCAUGUUAAAGGGGUUAUCCAGGAAAAAAAAAAUAUAUAU